rnacentral:lncRNA from 1 species
UGUUUGUGCUCGUAGAUCUAGGUUCUUCACUUGGUGGAGUCUAGGAGUUGUAAAACUCCUUCAUAUUUUGCUCGAAGUGUACCUGCUCAUAGAGACAAGGCAGAGAUCAAGUGCAUGGGCCCUAUUGGUGGAAAACACCAACAGAACCAAAAGUGUAUUUGUUCUUCUCUAACCUUAAGCAUAGUGAGCAAGAUAAAGUUGAUUGAUAAUAACAUCAUGAGUGUAGCAUUUAAAACAUUUGUUAGAUCAGAUUGCUCAACCUAAUGGAAAGAUAAUCUAUCUAUACUUAUGUGUUUUCUCGCUUUUGUAUAUAUAUAUAUAUAUAUCUUCCAAAGACUGAGUGUGCAAUAUUUUAGUUUAUAUGAUUAGAAGUGUG